rnacentral:rRNA from 1 species
AGAGUUUGAUCAUGGCUCAGAAUCAACGCUGGCGGCGUGCCUAACACAUGCAAGUCGAGCGAGAAAGGGGCUUCGGCCCUGAGUAAAGCGGCGCACGGGUGAGUAACACGUGGGUAAUCUGCCCUAGAGUGGGGAAUAACACCGGGAAACCGGUGCUAAUACCGCAUACGAUCACGAUGUCCUCGGAUGUUGUGAUGAAAGGAGCAAUUCGCUCUUGGAGGAGCCCGCGGCUGAUUAGCUAGUUGGUAAGGUAAUGGCUUACCAAGGCAACGAUCAGUAUCCGGUCUGAGAGGACGGUCGGACACACUGGAACUGAGACACGGUCCAGACUCCUACGGGAGGCAGCAGUGGGGAAUUUUUCGCAAUGGGGGAAACCCUGACGAAGCAACGCCGCGUGGAUGAUGAAGUCUCUUGGGACGUAAAAUCCUUUCGACGGGGAAGAAACCGCAAGGUUGACGGUACCCGUAGAAGAAGCCCCGGCUAACUCCGUGCCAGCAGCCGCGGUAAUACGGGGGGGGCAAGCGUUGUUCGGAAUUACUGGGCGUAAAGGGCGCGUAGGCGGUUUGCUAAGUUGAAUGUGAAAACUCUGGGCUUAACCCAGAGCCUGCAUUCAAUACUGGCAGGCUAGAGUUCUGGAGGGGAUAGCGGAAUUCCUGGUGUAGCGGUGAAAUGCGUAGAUAUCAGGAGGAACACCGGUGGC